rnacentral:rRNA from 1 species
AUACGUAGGUGACAAGCGUUAUCCCGAUUUACUGGGCGUAAAGGGCGUGUAGGCGGUCUUGCAAGUCAGAAGUGAAAUUCCUGAGCUCAACUCGGGCGCUGCUUCUGAAACUGCAGGACUUGAGUGCUGGAGGGGAUAGCGGAAUUCCUAGUGUAGCGGUGAAAUGCGUAGAUAUUAGGAGGAACACCAGUGGCGAAGGCGGCUUUCUGGACAGUAACUGACGCUGAGGCGCGAAAGCGUGGGUAGCGAACAGGAUUAGAUACCCUGGUAGUCCACGCCGUAAACGAUGGAUACUAGGUGUAGGAGGUAUCGACCCCUUCUGUGCCGGAGUUAACACAAUAAGUAUCCCACCUGGGGAGUACGGCCGCAAGGUUGAAACUCAAAGGAAUUGACGGGG